rnacentral:lncRNA from 1 species
UUCCUCUUACACGCAUGUUGAGUGCAAAACGGCAUAACAAUGAUGAUAAAAACAUUUUUAGCUCUCCCAUGGACCAGAACUGAGAGGUCCAAGACUUGAAAACCCCCAUUCAAAGAGACAAUGUAGUCUAAUUUCUUUUCAAUCACAAUCCCAACAAAGAUAAAACAACGGUUAAAGAACAGGCUCAGAAAUACGACAAAAUUCAAUUACAUUAAUCUAAGGAUUGAAUUGCAAACUGCAGCAUUGCCAUGUAAUGGGUAGAAAAAUUUGUACCUAGUUCAUCCUUCAAUUGCGAUAAGCUCCACACCAACCCUUUUGAACAACGGUUUCACCACAGUUGAGUACCUUCAAACCCAAUUUUCAAAACAAAUAAUUCUAUUUAUGAAAAAUUUGAACUCAUUUAUGCCACACAAAAAUAUAAAUUUCACCAAAAACAACCUGCAAAGCUUUAUACUUGAUCAUAUUUCACCAAAAACUUCUCCAAAAAUAUAAAUUUUCCCCCAAGACAAACAGAAACCAAAAACAUUCUAUGAAAGUAAAGUAAGCCAUCUAGAUGUGUGCACUUACAUAAGCAUCCAUCGUUUAUUAAAUUAAACGCAAAUAACAUAUAUGAAUUUCACUAAAAGAUAUAAACUGAACAAUUCCACCAAACUUCAACCCAAACUGGAAUAGUUUCUAUUUAGUUUAGUUUAUUCAAACUUACUCUGUACUCAAGACUAUUAAGCAAUUGAGGUGUACAUCAACACCAAAAUAGAAACUGUACCAAGGUCUACCCAGUUGUACAUGUAUGCAUAAUUCAAGUUCAAACUCUCAUGUGGAAAAAAAUAGCAAAGAAUUGUAAUAUGAAAAUUCAACUAAGUUUUGCAAAGCAUACCAAACCAAUCCCAAGUACCUUGAAACACAACGUUGCUGAUAUCAUGAAAUGAAGAUGGCAUCACUUUGAAACCCUUAUCCACACCAUAGAGGGGAAUGGACUCCAUAGAAGAACUUGCGAGCUGCCAUUAAUACCAUAUUUAUUAGCAUAUUUCAAUCUUUUUACCCAUAACAACAUUUACUAAGAAGAUUGAAUAAAGCUCAAUGAGAAUAUGAAGAAGCAAAAAUACUCUGCGUAUGUUUUAUAACACAAAAAGAUUGCCUUUUUCAUUAGGAAGUUUAACUCUAUAGUUCAAACAUUGUCUCACAUAUUGAAUUGAAUAAUUGCUACUCACCACUCCUAUCAUACCUUCAUAGCUGAAAUACAAUUGAGGAGGCUGACUUUCUAUGAAAUUCUUUUGUAUACGACAAUUACCCAAUUACUGCCCUCAUAUGUAUUUAAGGUCAACAAUUCGACAAAGUGACUCAGGACUAAUAAUAUAGCAUUUUUUAAAUGUACUAAAGUUGUAAGAAUGUAAGUCUGUAGUGAUAUAUAACAAUGGAAUUAGCCAACAUGCAUAUUGUUAGAAUUAAGAGCACCCAAGAGUACGUCCCAUGACAUACCAUGACUGGAUAACCUGCACAAAUAUUAGCUCCUUUACUAUUCCAGUUCCCACCUAUAACCAUGAAGUUAAUGAUCAUAUUCAUAUGUAACUUGGAACCCUCCUUUUUUUAAUUUUAUUUUUCUCUUUUAACUACCCCAAAUUUUCCUAAAGAUAGAAAGAAAACAGAAACCAAUUUGCCUUUUGGUGGAGAAUUCCUAGUAGGCAAAAGGUUGAGUCAAAUCAAAUAAAAUAUAAGAAACAUUUAGGUUGCAUCCAUUAUAUAAUUGAAACAUAAACCAUAAGACAAAAGGAAAAUACCCCUUUUUUCUUCUUCUUUUUCUUCUUUUUUUCUAAAAAUCCAUCAGCAUGAGCUACUAUUGUCAACCUUUAACGCCAUAAGAUUCAUUCUGUUCAACAUCCCCCCACGGUUUAGAGAAAUUUAAUGAAGUUGUAUUAAAAAGGAGUUCUGAAAUGUAUACAAUCUUUCACUCUUUUUUCGUUGUUCACUAAUGGUAGCGAAUUUGUUGAUAAGCUACAGUAUAUUUUAACCUGCCAUUCAAGUUCUUUGGAACAUGAUAUGAUAACUAACACAUUAAGGGCUUAAGUCAUUUGUUGAAACAAAACAUUAUUCAAUAUGUUUUUGAAAAAAAAAAGAAAAAAGACACUCACACAUUGACAUACUAAAAAACAACACUAAAGAAAAUAUAUCUCACAGAAUUAAAUAGCAUGAAAUAUUGGUAAAGUUAAAUCAGACCUGACCAGAAAAAAUAUAUAUAUCAUACCUGAUCCAUCCCCGGCCAAAAACCUGUUGGAUUUGUGACCAAGUGGACAACAAGCCAAAAUACCUUUCGGCUAAUAAAAUAGAAUAAGGAAAAGGGGGACAUCAUUAUGAUGUCUAGCCCUUGAUUUGUGGCUUUUACAAAGGCAAAGAAUAUGUGGCCUUGUGUGAUGAGUGCAGCCGAAAGAGAGAAAAGGAGAGAGAGAAGGCGGGGCCUUUUGUUUAUAUUAAGGCAUUUGGUUAUGCCUUUGGUUGUGGGGGAGCGGCAGAUGAGAGAAACCAGGGAGAGCAUUCGGCUCUCCCAUUUGAAUAUGAGCUGCUCCUUCCCACCAUUUGUAAUAAUCCCAUUUUGUUAGUAAUCACUCAAUCAAAGAUGUUGGUGCUACUUGUGUAGCUUUUGGGAGAGAAGGAUUUUGAUAUGUGUUCUUCUUCUCCAUUUGUUUCUUAGUUUGAGUGAGAGCUAUUGGUUGUAUGUGGGAUUUGGGUUUGAGAGUUAAAACUCUAUUUGUAAUCUCCUUUUGAUAUUAGUGGAAUUUCCUCGCCGUCUUGGAACUGGAUGUAGGCUUACGCCGAACCAGUAUAAAUCCUUGUGUCUUUUGGAUUAUUUGUCUUGUCAUAUUUUGCCGUUGUAGCUUAUUGGUUUCAUAUUUGACGCUUCCGCACAACAAAACCUUCACAUCCUCAUCAUGAAACACAAAUAAGUCAGAUAAGUUUAAUUGCAAUUAUCUUCUAAACUCAUAUUACGAAAUAGAUAAUGAACAUCUCUAUUCAUGUUUGGUUGAUUAAAACCCAUACCUUUACCCUAAAUCUUCAUCGAGAAAACAAAGUAACUGAAAUUCUCUUUGUAACUUGCAAAUCACAAUUCUAACAAAAUUAAUGGAACCAUAAAAUGAAAUUACAAUUUAAUAAUUACCAGACUUAUCAAAAGUAACAGCCUCUUCUCAUCCCUUUGUUUUUCCUUCUGUAUCGAUGAAAUUGGUUUUGGAAGAGCCUCAUCCUUGUUAUCCUUUUGUCUCAACUGGAGUGCAUCCUCGUUAUCCUUUUGUCUUGACUGGAGUGCCUUGUGGAGAGCCUAAUGGACAACCACCAAAAUUAAUUUCUUCC